rnacentral:tRNA from 1 species
UAAGAACUUAGGAUAACUAAACCAAGAGCCUUCAAAGCCCAAAAUAGGGGUGAAACUCCCCCAGUUCUU